rnacentral:rRNA from 1 species
CCUACGGGCGGCAGCAGUGAGGAAUAUUGGUCAAUGGCCGGAAGUCUGAACCAGCCAUGCCGCGUGAAGGUCAGUGCCCUAUGGGCGUUAAACUUCUUUUGUGCGGGAGCAAUAAUGGUCACGUUUGGCCACCCUAGAGUACCGUUCGAAUCAGCAUCGGCAAACUCCGUCCAAGCAGCCGCGGUCAUACGGGGGAUGCAAGCGUUAGCCUGAUUUAAUGGGUUUAAAGGGUGCGUAGGCUGUGAGGGAAGUCAGCGUUGGAAUGCCCACGCUCAACGGGGUGAAGUGCCAUUGAUCCUGCCGGGCUGGAAUGCGGAUGCGGUGGGAGGAAUGUUUGGUGUAGCGGUGAAAUGCAUAGAUAUCACGCAGAACACCGAUUGCGAAGGCAUCUCACGGAGCCGCGAUUGACGCUGAUGCACGAAAGCGUGGGUAUCAAACAGGAUUAGAUACCCUAGUAGUC